CAGCAGCCGCGGGAAUACGUAGGGGGCAAGCGUUAUCCGGAAUUACUGGGUGUAAAGGGAGCGUAGACGGUUAAACAAGUCUGAAGUGAAAUGCCGGGGCUCAACCCCGGAGCUGCUUUGGGAACUGUAGAACUGGAGUGUCGGAGGGGUAAGCGGAAUUCCCAGUGUGGCGGUGAAAUGCGUAGAUAUUGGGAGGAACACCGGCGGCGAAGGCGGCUUACUGGACGACAACUGACGUUGAGGCUCGAAGGCGUGGGUAGCAAACAGGAUUAGAUACCCGGGUAGUCCCUGUCUCUUAUAC
rnacentral:rRNA from 1 species